rnacentral:rRNA from 1 species
CCUACGGGAGGCAGCAGUCGAGAAUCAUUCACAAUGGGGGAAACCCUGAUGGUGCGACGCCGCGUGGGGGAAUGAAGGUCUUCGGAUUGUAAACCCCUGUCAUGUGGGAGCAAAUGAAAAAGAUAGUACAACAAGAGGAAGAGACGUAUAACUCGGUGCCCGCAGCCGCGGUAAUACAGAGGUCUCAAGCGUUGUUCGGAAUCACUGGGCGGAAAGCGUGCGUAGGCUGUUUCGUAAGUCGUGUGUGAAAGGCGCGGGCCCAACCCGCGGACGGCACAUGAUACUGCGAGACUAGAGUAAUGGAGGGGGAACCGGAAUUCUCGGUGUAGCAGUGAAAUGCGUAGAUAGCGAGAGGAACACUCGUGGCGAAGGCGGGUUCCUGGACAUUAACUGACGCUGAGGCACGAAGGCCAGGGGAGCGAAAGGGAUUAGAGACCCCUGUAGUC